UCCCUCUCCCCUAUCCCUUUGAGUCAUUAAGUCUUUGAGUCGGAUGGGAGUCAAGGAAGCAACAUUUGCCAGAUUGAGGGAGUUUAACCAAAUUUUAGGGAAAUGAAAAGUUAGCACGAAUAACUAAAAGAAUGCAUAUAUUUCUUUUAUGAUUGCCAAAUAUCAUGAUUUUAUGUCCCGUUUGAUGAAAUAGCACGUCCGGAUAUCCUUGGUAAAGUGUAACUUGUUUCAAAUUCCCGAAAUUACUAGCUUUGAUUGGGGAAGUCCAGAGUUGCCAAACAGUCUUUUGAGAGUAUAAAAGGCGAGGCCAUCGCAGCCACGCCACAGUCAUCUCUUGCAUUCGUUCCUGCAACAUCUCAAUCAUGGUUUCUCGCGUCGUGUUGGUUGUGCUGGUGGUGGUCGUCCUAGCGGCCGCAGCAGUGGCUCUCCCUGACCCCACGAAACGGCACUUGGGAUACGGCUUGUACGGAGGAUACGGAGGAUACGGCCUCGGAGGAUUUGGCUUGGGAGGCUACGGAGGCUACGGAGGAUACGGCUAUGGAUCCCACUAUCCCUAUUACGGAUCCUACUAUGGAUAGAGUAAACAUCUUUAGUGUCACAUGGACUUCGUUUCCUGCCUUUCAGCUGGGUCGACGAAGUUGAUGAACACCUCCUAUCCAUCCCUGUAUUUUUAUUCUUAAAUACCAUCUAAUAAAGCUUUAACUCUA